rnacentral:lncRNA from 1 species
UGGAGAAAUGGCUUACCAUGCAUGUCCUUCUCCCCAGGAGGGAGGUCGUGGUGCAGGCGAGCAGACGCCAGACUCCUGGACACUUGCCGCCUGCGUUAUGGAGGCUUAGCUAAUAACCUUGCAGGGGUCUUCAGGCUUUUCCACUGGCUCACCUUUAGGCUUCUGACACUUUUACCUACGAUAAUGCAGUAGUUACUUUUUGAAGGACGACCGAAGCAGGAUAUUUCCCUGACCCCUUCAUGGGACCCACGUCAGAGGUGUUUACUCAGCCUGCUGCCCACAACUCCUCACAGGAGGGAGCGCACAAGUGAACGAGGGUGAGGACUGGAGAGCACCAGCACUGGAACAACCCGGCCACUUCGGCGCUACUGGGAUCAAACUCCAUCACUUGGACACACUGUGUUCCACCCCUCGUGGGAGGGAGCAUGCAGGUGAGAGGAUGCAGGAGUCAGGGUGAGCACUUUUGGGCUCCAGCAGGAGCAAACUCUGUGCAGGGCCCUGCAGCAGUGACUGAGGGGCGGCCUGUGACUCCCAAAGCCCCAGAGGACAUGCUACAGUGCUCUUUUAGCUCUACCAUCCGUAGGUGGCUUAAGUGUAAACAGCUCAGUGGGCCCUUUGCCUUUUUGCGUGAGGCAGCUGCCCUAGGCAAGAGUAAAGGGCCAGUGUCACAGCCUUCUGUAUCUGCACUCAUGACUCCUGAGCUCUUGUCCUGCAUUCAGGGAAAAUGAGGUUACACAAAAGAAUUCACAGAUGGUAAAUGCGGGGUAUUUUAUUCCCAGUGAAAGUGGCUCUCAGCAGGAAGGAGAGCAGAAAAGGGGAUGGGCUGGGUAGGUAACCUUCCCCUGAAGUCCUGCCAUCUCUGGCUGGAUUUUUCUCCAAAGUUACACCAUCAAAAUGUCCCUCUGAAAUCAAGCCACUUCUCUCUGACAUCCAGCCGUAGUCCCUCACGUCCAGUUGCUUCUCCUCUCUGCUGGCUGA